UACGUAGGGGGCAAGCGUUGUCCGGAAUCAUUGGGCGUAAAGCGCGUGUAGGCGGCCUUGUAAGUCCGUUCUGAAAGUCCGGGGCUCAACCCCGGGAGGCGGAUGGAUACUGCAAGGCUCGAGUCCGGAAGAGGCAAGUGGAAUUCCCGGUGUAGCGGUGAAAUGCGCAGAUAUCGGGAGGAACACCAAUGGCGAAGGCAGCUUGCUGGGCCGACACUGACGCUGAUGCGCGAAAGCCAGGGGAGCGAACGGG
rnacentral:rRNA from 1 species